AACCACUCACGCCUAGCGUGGUAUUGGGGCACGCGGUCUCCGCGGCCCUCAAAAUUAGUGGCGGCGCCGGUGGGCUCUAAGCGUAGUACAUACUCCCGCUAUAGAGUUCCCCCGGUGGCUCGCCAGAACCCCCAAUUUUUACA
rnacentral:misc_RNA from 2 species